rnacentral:tRNA from 1 species
CGCCGCGUGGCUCAACUGGAUAGAGCAUCAGAUUUCGACUCUGAGGGUUGUGGGUUCGAAUCCUACCGCGGCGACCA